rnacentral:rRNA from 1 species
GACAGAGGGUGCAAACGUUGUUCGGAAUUACUGGGCGUAAAGCGCGUGUAGGCGGCUAAGUAAGUCGGGCGUGAAAUCCCACAGCUCAACCGUGGAAGUGCACUCGAAACUGCAUAGCUAGAGUCCUGGAGAGGAAGGUGGAAUGCUUGGUGUAGAGGUGAAAUUCGUAGAUAUCAAGCGGAACACCGGUGGCGAAGGCGGCCUUCUGGACAGUGACGUGACGCUGAGACGCG